rnacentral:rRNA from 1 species
GAUGUCAGAUUAGCUAGUUGGUGAGGUAAAGGCUUACCAAGGCGACGAUCUGUAGCGGGUCUGAGAGGAUGAUCCGCCACACUGGAACUGAGACACGGUCCAGACUCCUACGGGAGGCAGCAGUGGGGAAUUUUGGACAAUGGGGGCAACCCUGAUCCAGCCAUGCCGCGUGAGUGAAGAAGGCCUUCGGGUUGUAAAGCUCUUUCGGCCGGGAAGAAAUCGCAUGGGCCAAUACCCUGUGUGGAUGACGGUACCGGAAUAAGAAGCACCGGCUAACUACGUGCCAGCAGCCGCGGUAAUACGUAGGGUGCGAGCGUUAAUCGGAAUUACUGGGCGUAAAGCGUGCGCAGGCGUUUUUGUAAGACAGGCGUGAAAUCCCCGGGCUUAACCUGGGAACUGCGUUUGUGACUGCAAGGCUAGAGUACGGCAGAGGGGGGUGGAAUUCCACGUGUAGCAGUGGAAUGCGUAGAGAUGUGGAGGAACACCAAUGGCGAAGGCAGCCCCCUGGGUCGAUACUGACGCUCAUGCACGAAAGCGUGGGUAGCAAACAGGAUUAGAUACCCUGGUAGUCCACGCCCUAAACCAUGUCAACUAGGUGUUGGGUGGGUAAAACCAUUUAGUACCGUAGCUAACGCGUGAAGUUGACCGCCUGGGGAGUACGGCCGCAAGGUUAAAACUCAAAGGAAUUGACGGGGACCCGCACAAGCGGUGGAUGAUGUGGAUUAAUUCGAUGCAACGCGAAAAACCUUACCUACCCUUGACAUGCCAGGAACUUGCCAGAGAUGGCUUGGUGCCCGAAAGGGAGCCUGGACGCAGGUGCUGCAUGGCUGUCGUCAGCUCGUGUCGUGAGAUGUUGGGUUAAGUCCCGCAACGAGCGCAACCCUUGUCGUUAAUUGCCAUCAUUUAGUUGGGCACUUUAACGAGACUGCCGGUGACAAACCGGAGGAAGGUGGGGAUGACGUCAAGUCCUCAUGGCCCUUAUGGGUAGGGCUUCACACGUCAUACAAUGGUCGGUACAAAGGGUUGCCAAGCCGCGAGGCGGAGCCAAUCCCAGAAAGCCGAUCGUAGUCCGGAUUGCAGGCUGCAACUCGCCUGCAUGAAGUCGGAAUCGCUAGUAAUCGUGGAUCAGCAUGUCACGGUGAAUACGUUCCCGGGUCUUGUACACACCGCCCGUCACACCAUGGGAGCGGGUUCCGCCAGAAGUAGGUAGCCUAACCGCAAGGGGGGCGCUUACCACGGCGGGGUUCGUGACU